rnacentral:rRNA from 1 species
UUAAAUGUAGAGUGCAUUUCUAGAGAUAGGAGUUCCCUUCGGGCUUUCUACAAGGUGCUGCAUGGUGUCGUCAGCUCGUGCCGUGAGGUGUCGGGUUAAGUCCCAUAACGAGCGCAACCCUUAUCGUUAGUUGCCAUCUGGUAAAGCAGGGGACUCUAGCGAAACUGCCACCGUAAGGUGAGAGGAAGGUGGGGAUGACGUCAAAUCAGCACGGCCCUUAUGUCCAGGGCUACACACGUGUUACAAUGGUCGGUACAGAGGGCAGCUACCUGGUGACAGGAUGCUAAUCUCGAAAACCGGCCUCAGUUCGGAUCGAAGUCUGCAACUCGACUGCGUGAAGUUGGAAUCGCUAGUAAUCGUAGAUCAGCAUGCUACGGUGAAUACGUUCCCGGGCCUU